AUAACCUCGCGAAAGUGAGAACAAUACCCCAUGGGUCACUAUGCCUGGAACGGUUAGUGGCUGAAAGCUCCGGCGGCACAGGAUGGGUCUGCGGCGUAUCAGGUCGUAGGGGGUGUAACGUACCUCCUAGCCUUCGACGCGUACGGGUUGUGAGAGCAAUUGCCCGGAGAUGGAUUCUGAGACACGAAUCCAGGCCCUACGGGGCGCAGCAGGCGCGAAAACUUGACAAUGCGAGAAAUCGUGAUCAGGGGACUCCAGUUGGCUGGAUCAAAAGUCCAGUCUGAACCGACUUUAAAUCGGUCGGGUAAUAGGGGCGGGAAAGACCGGUGCCAGCCGCCGCGGUAAUACCGGCGCCCCAAGUGGUCGUCACUAUUAUUGGGCCUAAAACGUCCGUAGCCGGUUUGGUAAAUCCGUGGGUAAAUCAGACAGCCCAACUGUCUGAAUUCUGCGGGGACUGCCAGACUUGAGACCGGGAGAGGUGCGGGGUACUUGCGGGGUACCGGUAAAAUGGGAUCAUCCCGUAGAGACCACCUGUUGCGAAGGCGCCGCACUAGAACGGAUCUGACGGUCAGGGACGAAGCCUAGGGGCACGAACCGGAUUAGAUACCCGGGUAGUCCUAGGUGUAAACGCUGUGGACUUGGUGUCGGGGACCUUCUGAGGGUUUCCGGUGCCGGAGUGAAGAUGUUAAGUCCACUGCCUGGGGAGUACGGUCGCAAGGCUGAAACUUAAAGGAAUUGGCGGGGGAGCACCGCAACGAGAGGAGCGUGCGGUUUAAU
rnacentral:rRNA from 1 species